AGCUCCAAUAGCGUAUAUUAAAGUUGCUGCAGUUAAAAAGCUCGUAGUUGGAUUUGUGGCGCGGUCGUCCGGCGGGGCUUCCGGGUUCGUUGUAUCCCGGGGCCGUUUGUCUGGGUUCUUGGCCGCCCCAUUCUUCGGUAGCGGGUCGCUGGCAUUAGGUUGUCGGCUUCUUCGCGCCGAUCGUUUACUGUGAAAAAAUUAGAGUGUUCAAAGCAGGCUUAGGCCGUUGGAUACAUUAGCAUGGAAUAAUGAGAUAGGGCCACGGCGGUCUAUUUUGUUGGUUUGCACGUUGUGGUAAUGAUUAACAGGAACGGUUGGGGGUAUUCGUAUUCAAUUGUCAGAGGUGAAAUUCUUGGAUUUAUGGAAGACGAACUACUGCGAAAGCAUUUACCAAGGAUGUUUUCA
rnacentral:rRNA from 1 species